rnacentral:lncRNA from 1 species
UAAUAAUAGUGAAAACUUCAAAUAUUCUCAUUGUGCUUUCAUUUUUUUUUCACUAUAGUACUCUAUGAUUUAAAGUGUAUCAACUUAGUACCUAUGGUUUCACAUUUUCUCACUUUAGUAUCUUAUGGUUUAAAGUGAGAAUCAAGUUAGUACCCUAUGAUUUCGCACUUUCUCACUUUAAUACCCUGUGGUUUAAUAUUUCAUUAAGAGAAAAAUAAAACCACAGAGUACUAAUCUGAUACAAAAAUAAAAUCACAUGGUACUAACUUGAUACAAAAAUAAAAUCACAGAAUAUUAAUUUGACACACUUUAAACCACAGAAUACUAAAAUAAAAAAGUGCGAAAUUAUAUGGUACUAAUUUGAUACACUUUAAUCUAUAGAAUAUUAAAAUGAAAAAGUACGAAACCAUUAGAGGAGUUUUUGAAAUUUUUCCUUAAAAAUAAAUUGAAGGGCAUUCACAAGAACAUUUAUAAAA